CCGCAGCCAGCGGCCCCCGCCCGCCCCUCUCGCGAGACUUCGCCGCCCUCCUCCCUCCUUCCUUCCCUCCGCGGGAGGAGCGGCGGGAGGAGGCCGGGGCGGGGCCGGGCUGUGAGGGGGGACGGCGUGAGGGGACGGCGAGGCCUCGGGUCCCUCGUGCUGAGAUUACAGCUGGAGGAAUUCUAAACAGUCCGAGUCUCCUUGUCGUGGUGUUUAAGUGCAUUGUGCUCCUGUCUGAACAGAGGAAAUCGCUGAGUGGCAUCGUUUGGUUUCUGCAGCCUAUGGAGCGGUGAGGAGCGAUCUGCCCAUGCGGCCCUAAGGUGGAAUUAAGGAUCGAGACCUUCUGAAUCUUGGUCUUGUACUUCUGCAGCCAAGGUGUGUUUGAAGCUCACAAAUUAUGAGGGUGAAAGCUUGGGUCAGUGAGGUACAUAGAGCUACCCUAACAGAGAGUUUGGGCUCCCUUUAUUAUGCACGUAAAAAAAAGAUAACGGUAUCUCUAAGUAAAAAGCCUUGGGGUGUAGUGGUAGCUGCUGGAAAAAACGUGGGUAAUGCCUUGGUAUGAACUGUCAGGUCGUUUGUUUAACACAAUAGAUAUGGGUUUGAUAAGUGCUCAGUGACCACUUCAAAAGUAAACAGUUUUGUCUGUAUCCCACCAGCACAGAAGAAGUCUACAGACAUCGUUAAGUAGCAGGCCUAUAAAAAUGGCACUGUUUGCUGUUGCCAGCUGAACUGGGCAUGUCUGACAGGGCUGCCUAGGCCUGACCUAUCAGGCAUGCUCUUACUGCCUUGUCAGCCAAUUGCAGUGGGCACCUAGGAUGUUACAUCAGCUUAGCUCAGUUUGCAAACUGACUGAUGCAAAUUUAGCUUUUGUUUUAAGGAACUAAACCAGUUUAUGUAUGCCUGCAUCUUGGAUCCGCACCGGUGUAGCCAUCAGGUAGCUGUAUACAUUAGCACCAUCUGAAGGAGGUGCUAGGACAUCAGUAAAUAGAAAUUACAAAUUGCACGGCGGUUCAGCUGACAGGCAGAACUGGUUUCAGUGCGUUGCUGCAGUGUGCUGCUGCAGACCUGGGCUGGGGGUAGACCCAGACAGCAUUGCAGUGCAGACAGGACCUGUACAGAGUGUGCAUCAGCACUGCAUGAUAUUGUAGGAGAGGAAGUCGUGAACAAUACCGUGUCCAGCGGAAGCUGUGGCAAGAAUUUAUCCAAGGCUCGUUGUAAUUACUCAAGCUGGGAAUUUGGCCAGUGCAGUGGGGUUGACACCCCUGCUUCUUUAGGAGCGUCAUGGUUUAUUUUUUUAAAUGACUUUAAGUGAUGGGAAGCUCGGCUGUCUGUCUCAGCAGAACAGCAAUGCCUCUUGCAGUAUAAACUUCUUACAACACUAAGGAGCUGCUUCAGAACUAACUGGGAGUGAUGGGGCCUGGCUCAGUAAUCACUGCUAAAUAAAUACUCUCAGUAGAUAAGGCAGAUAAGAGUGUGAUUAGGGCAGUUUCAGCUGCUGUAAUCACAGUCGUACCUUCCUUAGCCUGCAGUCCCCACACUGCUCUACUCUGACCUUUCUUAAGAGAGCAAAUGUAAAUUUCAGAAUAAAUCACGGAACCCGAACCAAUGAAAUUUGGUUAUUAAUUAUAAUUGCAGUUAUGAAUCACAGUUGUCUCUGCUUCCAUUCUAGGAAAUUUGCCAUUGUAUAAGCAGAAUGUAAUUUACCCAAAUAUACAUAUUUUUUUUUUACCAUUUUAUGAAACUCUUAUGAUUCUGUUACGCCCUGAUUUAGAAACCAACUUUCACCUUGUUUUCUGCUUGUAAAGAUAAGCAGUCGUGUCUUUUAGCACAUAAAUAGUUGUGCAAUGCACAAGUGAGGAACUGCUUUCUUUCAUUUGCUCAUCAAACGUGCCAUCAUUCCAGUCGUAGCUCAGACCAUUAUCGUGGUUUACAGAGUUAUACAGGAAAGACAUGUUCUAGAGAAAGGCUGGUCAGAAUAGAUGAAAUAGCCCUACAAAAGCAAAUCAUAACAACCUGUAUCAGGCAGUGUCCUGGCAGUUUGUCAUAAUGACAGAAAUGAAGCAAUACCAACACUGUUACACAACCACGUUUGUAUUAUAAGAAAAUAACAAUACUGCACUGCACUCCUACCUUUUAACAGAGAAAUAGGAUUGCUCUUUGCCGUCUGCUUCUGGUUGUCCCGUGAUUCAAGAGAGCAGUGGUGUCCAUGAAGAAAAGGGGAAAGAGACACAGGAGGAGGAAGUAGUGACCGAGGUCCUGUGGGAAGCAGUGAGCAGAAUCUCGGCCUUCUGACUGUCCCACUCUGCCCUCGGGGCAACCAGACAGAAGUGGAAGACUGGUUUGCCCUCUGACUCAACAGCUCUUCCUUCCUCAGCAGCUGGCACGCUGGGCAGUUGCAAAUAAGUGCCAGUGUGCCACUUGCAUCUGUGUCAGCUUCCCAAGGGGCUCUAGGUAGGCUUGUCUUCUGCUGGAGAAGGCCGGAUGGAAGGAUCUCUGCAAUGCAUUUCUUUGGGAGCGUUAUUAGAACUUGGAAAGAUUCUCUUUUUACCAUGUUACUUUCCUCUGAUUUCUUUCAUAAACUGUGUAACUUGAGGACACCCAGAGAUUUUUACCCUUCUCUGUGAGAGACUAACAACAAGCCUAUGACAUAUGUGCCAAAUGAACUUAUUUCUGAGGCAGCUGAUGUCUGAGAAGUGCUGGCAGUGUGUGUCCUUCCACCAGGUUCAGCAUGAAGCCUUGCAUCUUCAUCUGAGCAGCACCUCCAGUUCUGAUGUCCUCGUGCUUCUCUGUCUCCAACACCUGCGUGCUGUUUAGGUGGCUGUCAGCAAUUGUCCUGUUGUGAUGCACCAAUGCUAGCAUGCACUGGAAGAAUACCAGUUCAUUCUUGGCCUGGAGGAAUAACUGAUGGAAGGAAACAGCACAGGAAGAGACUCUUGUCUUGGUUCUGGUCUGUGGAUGGAUGGAUACAGAGAGGCCUGUGGCACUGAGGGAUGAAAGGUGACUAACGGUGUGAAAUUUGUCCCAAGAAACUCGUUAUAAUCAUGCAAUCUUCAGGUGGUUUUCUUUCUCCAGAAGAAGCUGCCAUGUGUCACUUGGCCCUCUGGCAGUUGUCGCUCGCCCUGUCUACUGGAUAGAAGUAUUAAACAAUUAUUUCUCUGCUUAGAAAGUUUAAUACAACGUUGUAGCAGUGGGGCUACAACACUCUAUAUAUAAAUUUUUUCCUUCUCUCAUAGUUUUGUGUCCACCCUUACAAAGCUUUCAUGAACAAGCUCUGUUGAAUUUUGCUGUGGCACUUUGAGAUGUUGCAGGUCUGGUGCUGCUCCACAGCUUUCUUCCCCGUAGCAGAGCCAGCAGAAGAGUUUGUUCUGUGCCUGCUGACCCUGGUCCAGGGCAGCAUCCCCCAGAAGAGCAGCUUGCUGGAGGUGGUGAUUUAAACCACUGAGCAUGUUUCCUAGGAGGACUCUUACUUUCCUAAUUAGCACGCCUGCUUUGCCAGUGAGCUGCAAUGAGCUGUUCCCCCAUUGACCCAGUGGAUCCCGGUCUUGCAUUUUACAAGUAAAACAACACAUUCUAUGAUGUUGUAAAUGUACUCUUUGGAACUGAUUCUCCUCCUAAUCUGUAAAACCUGUGUAAUGAUGGCCCUGUCCCUCAGCAGUUCUGCAAUCACCUCUCUGUGACACACCGUGUUUCAUUCUGGAAUAAGAUUUUAGACCAGAAGAAGGGUUAGGCUGCAUGCAGAUGAACAAAUCUGUUGCUGGUCUCUCUGGCUACUGCAGCAUGACUCACCCAUCAGCGCCUGUCAGCGCCUGUGUGACCUCAUUGGAAGCUUCAACGUCUGCUGUGUGAAGGUGCUCAUGGGCUCAUUCUGCACCGACCUCGCCAGUCUGCAAGCCCCAAAAAUACAGGAACAAACCAAACGCUGUGGUUUCUAUUCAAGGCCCAGGAGUGGAAUAAGGAACAUGAGCCGUGGGAUAUCCUAUGUCACUGCAGGCUGAUCUCUGCAGCAGGCAGAGGCUGCUCAGCCUGGAAGGGUCUCAUGGCAAAGGGAGGAAACAUCAGAGACGCCAUGGAUUAUUUUAGAUCUGCAACCUCAGUUCUGCAAAGCUGAAUGAUGCCCGUCCUUUGAGAACACCAACAACGCCUCGCUCCGAAUGCCUGUGAACUCUGUGCUUCAUGCAGAGCACUGCGUGGCGGCUGCUUAUCAUUUAAUUUGCUGUUUGCCCACCCUUCGUGUUCCAAUAACUGGAGAUAAGGUGAGCAGAGGUUCUCACACUGCUGUGCCUCCUGCAAUACCUUCACUGCACUCUUUCUGGUUCACUUCCUCCCACUCAUUAAUUUUGCUCCCAAAAAAGGCUCCUUUCAAUUCUUAUUCUCGUAGUCAACCCCGAUUGUUCUGGACCACAUCAUGAACAUAAGAACUGCAAUAAUUACCUGCCAGGUUUGGGUUCUGCCAGGGCCAGGCAUGUUUAGGUUGAAGACCAUGUGUGCAAGCACGACUAUUGCAGCUUCUACAUGCUAGAUGCAUACAUACCCAAGGCAUCUUUACAAAGUCCCUGCUUCAAAAUAAGCAGUGUGCAAUGACCAAACCAAUGACCAGCACCCACGUGACUGCUGUGUUGUAUAACGAGAUGCAAAGUCCUUGGGAUUUGUGGAUUGAGCUUUUCCCUUUUAUCUUCCAGAGGUCAAAGUCCACCGCCAGCAGCAGCCUGUGUGCUCUGCUCCUAAAGGAGCUCCGUGGGUUUGUGCUGCUCCCUCUGUGUUCAUCCCUUAAAGCAGCUCAGCCCAAUAUCACCUGCUGCAUGUGAUGUGAUCCCAAGAGCUGGGUUUUGUGGAGUCACCUUUCCCACUGUUUGCACAUGCAGUAACUGGGCUGCUUCUCAGUGCUGAGCCUUAAACGGGAGGUGGACACAAGAACCCCUUUCCUUUCCCUGGAUGAAGAGAUGUUUUCCUUUCCACGGAUGAAUUUCCUAAUUUUAGCUUCAGCUCACCCUGAACAUUCAAUGCAAAUCAAAUUGGUGUCAUAAAAAGGCCUUCGAGAGGAAAUUCUUAGAAAUUCUUCUUACAGAUCAUUGGAAUAAGCUUUAAAGUUUAACUGCAUCUUCACACGCCUUCAAAACUCCCCUCACCUCCACGAGAACUUCCUCCUGAUUUCCAUGGCAGCCGAUUUAUUCCUCGCUGCCCUCAGCUAUGAAUGGCAUUCCCUGCACAGCCCCGUGCUCCAGAGCUUUGGAAAAUCACCUUUGGAGUGACAGAACUGGAAAUGAUGGCUGUGCCCAGCUGUGUGCUCACUGUGGGAUCGCUCAGCCACGGGAGUGGAGUUCCAAGGAAAAUUUCCUCUUUGCUUUGCAGGACAGCUUACUGAUGUGCCAAGCUCAGAGCAGCAGGGAGGAGCCUCACUGCAGGCAGAGAGGUUUGCAAGUUUCCCAUAGAACACAUCCCAAACUGCUGCACAAUGCAGUGCUGCUUGCUGUCAGCCUGAUGGGAGAACACAGCGUGCUCCAGCAGUGGGCAAUGUGAGAGCAGGCGGUGAGCUGCACAUCCCAAACACGCAGUGCUGGGACUCACCGUGCCCUCAGUGCAUCUCUGUGCUGCGUCCCUGGCCGUGCAGCUCAGCACAGAGAGCCCUGGGCUGUGAGCUGCUGGAUUUUUAUGUCUGUUUUCAUCUGGUUUUGCCUGCUUUGGGAUGCACGCACAACCGGUGCUUCUAAGGAGAGAAACAGUUGCUUCAUCUUCAUGUACAGACAGCCCUCUGCCCUUUGCAUUUAGAUUUCUGGUGUCUCUGUGUGUGCAGAUGAUUUGUCCGUAAUUGUUUGCUUUCUCCAGAGUCCUUUGAAGCGUCUGUCUUCAAACCAGUCCCUUAUAUUAAAAAUAAACGCUUCCAAGCCACCAAUAAAA